rnacentral:rRNA from 1 species
UACGUAGGGUGCAAGCGUUGUCCGGAUUUAUUGGGCGUAAAGAGCGUGUAGGCGGCCAUACAGGUCCGUUGUGAAAACUGGAGGCUUAACCUCCAGACGUCGAUGGAAACCGUAUGGCUAGAGUCCGGAAGAGGAGAGUGGAAUUCCUGGUGUAGCGGUGAAAUGCGCAGAUAUCAGGAAGAACACCGGUGGCGAAGGCGGUUCUCUGGGCAUGUCCUGACGCUGAGGAGCGAAAGUGUGGGGAGCGAACAGG